GACGAACGCUGGCGGCGUGCCUAAUACAUGCAAGUAGAACGCACAGUUUAUACCGUAGCUUGCUACACCAUAGACUGUGAGUUGCGAACGGGUGAGUAACGCGUAGGUAACCUGCCUGGUAGCGGGGGAUAACUAUUGGAAACGAUAGCUAAUACCGCAUAAUAUUAAUUAUUGCAUGAUAAUUAAUUGAAAGGUGCAAUUGCACCACUACCAGAUGGACCUGCGCUGUAUUAGCUAGUAGGUGAGGUAACGGUUCACCUAGGCGACGAUACAUAGCCGACCUGAGAGGGUGAUCGGCCACACUGGGACUGAGACACGGCCCAGACUCCUACGGGAGGCAGCAGUAGGGAAUCUUCGGCAAUGGACGAAAGUCUGACCGAGCAACGCCGCGUGAGUGAAGAAGGUUUUCGGAUCGUAAAGCUCUGUUGUAAGAGAAGAACGGGUGUGAGAGUGGAAAGUUCACACUGUGACGGUAUCUUACCAGAAAGGGACGGCUAACUACGUG
rnacentral:rRNA from 1 species